GGAUUAGUCAAACGGAAGCCAACCUGA
rnacentral:piRNA from 1 species